UACGAAGGGGACUAGCGUUGUUCGGAAUCACUGGGCGUAAAGCGCACGUAGGCGGAUAUGUCAGUCAGGGGUGAAAUCCCGGGGCUCAACCUCGGAACUGCCUUUGAUACAGCAUAUCUUGAGUCCGAUAGAGGUGGGUGGAAUUCCUAGUGUAGAGGUGAAAUUCGUAGAUAUUAGGAAGAACACCGGUGGCGAAGGCGGCCUGCUGGGCAGUUGCUGACACUGAGGCGCGGCAGCGUGGGGAGCAAACAGG
rnacentral:rRNA from 1 species